UCCGAAUUGAUGUUUCUUUUAUGCGUGAAGGUUGGAGGAAAGAAGAGAAGAAAUAAUUAUCAAGAAGAUCAAGGUAACUUUUCGCGGAGGGGUGCCAUUCCGAAUAUUGGUGUGCUGCAGACUCGGUAAAUGACUUCAACAUGGCAUGAAAUACAUGGUGCCGGUGGGUGCAGUGAUGGCCAAGGCGAUUCCAGUAAGGAAGGAGGACAUGCUGAGGAAGAAUCGGCAGCAGGUACAACUAGAGUCGCCAUGGAGAAGGAGUACUUAACGGGAGCGAGCUAGGUGGAGGCGUGAAUUGAGCGAAGGCUGGCGGCGCGGAAGCGAGCGUGGGUCACGGGCGCAGCUAAGCGGUCACCAGCGUCUGAAUAAAUUCCACCUGCAACACGAAUAAAUGCACAAUCAGAGAGAAAUGUAGAGAAAAAUAGAGGGCAACAAGUGCCUCGCAACUGGCUGAAAAAUUGCACUGAAUGGAGAGAGCGUUGCGUCGACCAGGGACCUGAUCGGGUGUAUGGCACCAUGUCAUGGAGGGGCACUGCGGCCUGUGGCCCAAGGCGCCACAAUUUUUCUCGAUGCCCACAUACCUCCCAGGUUGUGGUCGCAUAUUCAAAUUUGAUGUCGUUUUAGCGCUUUGCUUCGAAUAUCAGCACAGGGACCGACAUUCGGGGUUUCGGGGAUUCGGAGAGCCGAUACUUUAGCCAGGACGGCAGUGAGUGCAUGAUGGUGGCCUUAGCUGAUGGACGACGGUGACCGCCGAGCGAUCGGCAGCAGGUACGAGCUCGUGUUGUCAUUGGUCAGUCAAUCUACAUGCUCUUUUUUAGCUUAACUGAUAUGCUAUUAUGGGACGUUAGGUCAGUUUAGUCAAAUCUGCUCCCAUAUGCUAACCUCAAUCAAAUGCUCCUCCCUGCACUUGUGCUGCAGUCGCGCACUCUGCAUCUCUUCCUCAUCAACCUAUUUACCUCUUUCAGCUUUUAGCUCUGCAAAGUAGACGUGCACUUAAAAAUUGGCAGUACUACCCACCGUCUCCUCUCUUUAUUCCUUAAAUACUUUUUUGGGUUUAAAACUUCUUCUAUCCAAUGAUGGUAAAACUUUGAAAACCCAUAGAUUAAAGUGAUAAGUGAAUUAACUUGUGAUGAUAAAAAUAAAGAUAUUACUAGCCAUCUGUAUGUUAAUUAUUGUUUCAAACAUAUGAAAGUCUAUUUAAAAUUCCAAGCAGGUAGUUCUAGAUACUUUCUUAAGAAAACUAUGAUCGUUUGAUUCAUGGAUAGCUUAGUUAGCAGUAUGAUGUAAGCAGUGUGCUUCUUUGCUUCAGCUUUAGAAAUUAGCUCUGAAUAAUUGCGUAUAUGUGUGAUUUUAAUGUAUUGCUAUUCUUUUUUCUGGUACCUGCCUGUAGUUUCGGUUAUUUGAUUUACUAUCAUUGUUUGGACAACUUGUCAUUUCCCCAUGCUUUGCUCCUCAACCUUCCAUUUUUUUAUGUUCAGAGCAAAUAAAUGAUUAUUACCUUCAAAAUGAUGUUUGCCCCACUUAGACCACAUUAUUUAUAAGAAUUCAAAAUAUUUACAAGAAU